rnacentral:rRNA from 1 species
CAACGGUGAAACUCAAAGGAAUUGACGGGGCCCGCACAAGCGGAGGAACAUGUGGUUUAAUUCGAUGAUACGCGAGGAACCUUACCCGGGCUCAAACGCAUACUGACGACAGUUGAAAGAUUGUUUCCCUUCGGGGCAUUAUGCGAGGUGCUGCAUGGUUGUCGUCAGCUCGUGCCGUGAGGUGUCGGCUUAAGUGCCAUAACGAGCGCAACCCCUAUCGACAGUUGCUAACGAGUAGAGUCGAGGACUCUGUCGAGACUGCCGGCGCAAGCUGUGAGGAAGGCGGGGAUGACGUCAAAUCAGCACGGCCCUUACGUCCGGGGCGACACACGUGUUACAAUGGCAGGGACAGCGGGAAGCCACCAAGCGAUUGGGCGCGGAACCCGAAACCCUGUCUCAGUUCGGAUUGGAGUCUGCAACUCGACUCCAUGAAGCUGGAUUCGCUAGUAAUCGCGCAUCAGCCAUGGCGCGGUGAAUACGUUCCCGGGCCUUGUACACACCGCCCGUCAAGCCAUGGGGG